GGGAGGUAGUGACAAUAAAUAACAAUACGGGGUUCUUUCGGAUUUCGUAAUUGGAAUGAGUACAAUUUAAAUCUCUUAACGAGGAACAAUUGGAGGGCAAGUCUGGUGCCAGCAGCCGCGGUAAUUCCAGCUCCAAUAGCGUAUAUUAAAGUUGUUGCAGUUAAAAAGCUCGUAGUUGAAUUUCGGGACUAACAGAUUGGUCGCGCCUUUGGUGUGUACUGGUCUAGUUGGUUUCUCCCUUCUGACGAACCACGAUGUCAUUAAUUUGGUGUCGUGGGAAAUCAGGACUGUUACUUUGAAAAAAUUAGAGUGUUUAAAGCAAGCGCUAGCUUGAAUACAUUAGCAUGGAAUAAUGAAAUAGGACGUUUGACCCUAUUUUGUUGGUUUCUAGGAUCGACGUAAUGAUUAAUAGGGAUAGUUGGG
rnacentral:rRNA from 1 species